rnacentral:rRNA from 1 species
UACGAAGGGGGCUAGCGUUGUUCGGAAUUACUGGGCGUAAAGGGCGCGUAGGCGGUCCUGAUCGUCGGAUGUGAAAGGCCUGGGCUCAACCUGGGAAUGGCAUCCGAUACGGCGGGACUGGAGUGUGGGAGAGGAGACUGGAAUUCCUGGUGUAGCAGUGAAAUGCGUAGAUAUCAGGAGGAAUACCGAUGGCGAAGGCAGGUCUCUGGGCUAUAACUGACGCUCAUGCACGAAAGCGUGGGGAGCAAACAGG